AGCGAACGCUGGCGGCAGGCCUAACACAUGCAAGUCGAACGAACCUUUCGGGGUUAGUGGCGGACGGGUGAGUAACACGUGGGAACGUGCCUUUAGGUUCGGAAUAACUCAGGGAAACUUGUGCUAAUACCGAAUGUGCCCUUCGGGGGAAAGAUUUAUCGCCUUUAGAGCGGCCCGCGUCUGAUUAGCUAGUUGGUUGAGGUAAUGGCUCACCAAGGCGACGAUCAGUAGCUGGUCUGAGAGGAUGAUCAGCCACAUUGGGACUGAGACACGGCCCAAACUCCUACGGGAGGCAGCAGUGGGGAAUCUUGCGCAAUGGGCGAAACCCUGACGCAGCCAUGCCGCGUGAAUGAUGAAGGUCUUAGGAUUGUAAAAUUCUUUCACCGGGGACGAUAAUGACGGUACCCGGAGAAGAAGCCCCGGCUAACUUCGUG
rnacentral:rRNA from 1 species